GCAAAGCCAGCAGUCUUCUGCAAGAGGGGGGUUAGUGAGAUUUAAAGGUUGAAAGGUAGCCUGCAAGAUGGCCUGAGUUUCGGGAUCAAGUUUGAGCUCUCCCCUCAGCUCCGGUAGUAAUAUACCUUUAGAUAGAUGACUAAAGCACAAUCCAGCCUCCAAGGAAGUUGAAGUCCAGGGAAGAAGUUCACAGUCCCGUGUUCUGCCAUAACUGAAUGCACGCAGUUUCCGUUCUGUUGUGGGAAACCGGAUACCUUGAGUGAAAGCGGCAAGCUUUUGAAGUUUCAUGAAAUGGUUGUGUUGAUUCCUCUUUGUUCAGUUAGAGUGUAGGAUGUGUCUGGUUCAUCUAAUUUAGACACUUGAAAGUCAAAUCCCAGUUCUACUUUUCAAAAUCAUCUGGGUUGCUUUUUAUUCUCCAAACCUGGGAGCUGUAGGAAAAUCAAUGGGAUUGGCAGGGAAUAGCUGAAGAUGCGAGGUUAGCUCGUUGUUUGCAAGGCAUUUUUUUUAGACCCAGGCAAAAGAAAGCAGAUUCUUCAGCUGAUAUUUUUAUGGGUAUAAAGAAAAAUAUUUUGAGACUUCUGUAGAAUGACUAGGAUUUACUAAAAGUAAAUUUUUGCAUGUUAAA